rnacentral:rRNA from 1 species
GAUGAACGCUGGCGGCGUGCCUAAUACAUGCAAGUCGAGCGAACAGACGAGGAGCUUGCUCCUCUGACGUUAGCGGCGGACGGGUGAGUAACACGUGGAUAACCUACCUAUAAGACUGGGAUAACUUCGGGAAACCGUAGCUAAUACCGGAUAAUAUAUUGAACCGCAUGGUUCAAUAGUGAAAGACGGUUUUGCUGUCACUUAUAGAUGGAUCCGCGCUGCAUUAGCUAGUUGGUAAGGUAACGGCUUACCAAGGCGACGAUGCGUAGCCGACCUGAGAGGGUGAUCGGCCACACUGGAACUGAGACACGGUCCAGACUCCUACGGGAGGCAGCAGUAGGGAAUCUUCCGCAAUGGGCGAAAGCCUGACGGAGCAACGCCGCGUGAGUGAUGAAGGUCUUCGGAUCGUAAAACUCUGUUAUUAGGGAAGAACAAAUGUGUAAGUAACUAUGCACGUCUUGACGGUACCUAAUCAGAAAGCCACGGCUAACUACGUG